CUGUUUGGUGGUCUCUUCACAGCAACGCGAAUGAAAUUUGGUGCCAUCACUCGGAUCAGGGGACCUCCCUUGGGAGAUCAAUCCCCUGUCCUCCUGCUCUUUGCUCCAUGAGAAAGAUCCACCUACGAUCUCUGCUCCUCAGACCAACCAGCCCAAGGAACAUCUCACCAAUUUUAAAUCGGAUCUUCUCAGCUUAGCGGCUGAAGACUGAUGCUGCCAGAUGACUUUGGAAGCCCCCUGGACCAUCACAGAUGCCCAGCUUUGGAUAACUCUUACAGUGGAGGGUAAGUCCGUCCUCUUC
rnacentral:lncRNA from 10 species